CACUCAGUGUGUCGAGCGCUGAAAGGCAGGCAUGCGAUUGCAGCAGCACGGACUAGGAGAAAGAUUUGACGACAGAGAGGUGAACACAAAAAAAGAAGGUAAAAUCUCACAAGUAUGGAAAUACUUUAAAACGCCAGAUGACAAAAAAUUUGCAAAGUGCAUUAACUGCGGAAAAGAGUAAAAACUUGCGGAAAUACUUCAAACUUGCACGAUCAUUUGAAAAGAUACCAAUCUGGCUUAGAAAUGCUUGUCCAAGAUUCCAGCACUCCAACUAUUUCGGCGGAUACUGACAAUUGUAGAUCGUCGAUGCAUUCUGUAGCUUCUUACUUUAAAAGAGCCAUUUUGUAUGACACAAAAUGAUUGCCCGGGAUGUGCAGCCUUAUAACAUAGUUGAAAACGACGGUUUUGUAAACUACUGUCAGGUAUUGGAUCCCAGAUAUAAGCUCCCAAGCAAAACACACCUAACAGAUGUGCUAAUGCUUAAUUUGUUCAAGAAACUUCAGCUAAAUUAACAAUAAUGCUAGAAGGUAUUUCUGAUAUAUCUGUCACUUGUGAUUAGUGGACAUCGAUUAUGAUUUGAAAACUGCGUCAUUAGCCGCAAGAAAACUAUUGAAUACAACUAACAACACGGCUCAAAAUAUUGCAGACACUUUGAAAGACAUUUUAUACCAUUGAAAUGUGCUCAACAAAACCGUUUGUAUUGUUGCCAGCUCUAUGCUGAAAGCAUGCAAAAUAUUAAAAAUUAGAAAUCUUCCAUGCUGGUUUAAAAUUCGAAAAAGACGAUUUAGUAAAAGCUUUGGUUACAAAGUGUAAGGCCAUAGUCAGAUUUUUCAACCAAAGUACCAAGAUGGAGCAGAUGGUUUCUACCUAAUGAUCCAGAAUCCUAAUGAUGACAAAUGAUGUCAUCGUUACAGUUCUAUUAUCAACUACUAAAGCACCGCUGCCUUUUACGGCUGAAGAAAUCAAUAUCUUAAAAAAUAUAGAAAAAAUAUUAUAAUUUUUCCAACAAGCAAAUGAAAAGAUUUCUCGUGGAAAAUACAUAUGUGACUCUUUCGCUGAUCGUACCCAUGGCUAUGGGCUCUACCGCAAAGUGGAAAACCUUUCACCACACCUUCAAACUUUGCAAGGAAAAAAUUUUAACUUUCUAGAGACAAUCAAAAAACGUCCAUAAAAAAAGACCCAUUAGCAAAUACGCAAACGUGCGAUCAGAUGCCAUUAUUAUUAAAAGACAAUAUCUGGAGAGAACUUUAGUUGCCCAAGACAUGGAUCCUCCUUUAUGGAUUAAGGUGAACCAAACGGAUUGUCCCUUGCUCAAAAGGCUGAUUUUAAAAUACUUGUGCAUCCCCGCAGCAUCCGUCGAGUCCGAAGGAGUAUUUAGCAAGGGGGGGCAAAUUGUUUCGGAGAGGCGAACCAGGUUCAAGAAAGAAAAUGUGAACAUUAUUUUAUUCUUAAACCAAAAAAAUUGGAUCAAAAAACAUUAUUAUCGUAUAUGAAUUUUAAUUGAAGCUUUAAA